rnacentral:rRNA from 1 species
GACGAACCGUGCGAACGUUAUUCGGAAUCACUGGGCUUAAAGCGCGUGUAGGCGGGCCGCCGCGUCGGCUGCUGAAAUCCCCCGGCUCAACCGGGGAAGGGGCACCGAUACGGGCGGCCUGGAGGGGGGUAGGGGGGUCUGGAACUUCCGGUGGAGCGGUGAAAUGCGUUGAGAUCGGAAGGAACGCCCGUGGCGAAAGCGAGGCCCUGGACCCUUACUGACGCUGAGACGCGAAAGCCAGGGGAGCGAACGGG